GCUGCCGCUGCCGCCCAGGCUGGAAGCCCAGACACGGAAUCCCGAAUAACCAAAAGGACACUGUCUGUGAAGAUAUGACUUUCUCCACCUGGACCCCGCCCCCUGGAGUCCACAGCCAGACGCUUUCCCGAUUCUUCGACAAAGUCCAGGACCUGGGCAGAGACUCCAAGACAAGCUCAGCCGAGGUCACCAUCCAGGUAAGGGCAGGAUGCUGGGGGACCCCAGGACAGUGUAGAAUCAGCUAGCGGAGGCUUCCAUGUGGCCAGAGAGAGUGCCCAACCCAAGCAGGGGCCUCUAGUCAGAGACACACAUGCGCAUAACAUACACACACCACAUACAGUAUGUGCACAAACAUACACACCCGGACACGUGAAGACACACGCAUGCACACAC
rnacentral:lncRNA from 10 species